CGCGGCCUAUCAGCUUGUUGGUAGGGUAAUGGCCUACCAAGGCAACGACGGGUAGCUGGUCUAAGAGGAUGAUCAGCCACAUUGGAACUGAGACACGGUCCAGACUCCUACGGGAGGCAGCAGUGGGGAAUAUUGCGCAAUGGGCGAAAGCCUGACGCAGCGACGCCGUGUGAGUGAUGAAGGCCCUCGGGUCGUAAAGCUCUGUCGGAGAGAGACGAACAAGCAGGUGAAUAAUACCUCCUGCCCUGACGGUAUCUCUUCAGAAAGCACUGGCUAACUCCGUGCCAGCAGCCGCGGUAAUACGGAGGGUGCGAACGUUAUUCGGAAUUACUGGGCGUAAAGCGCGUGUGGGCGGCUUGGCAAGUCAGAUGUGAAAGCCCUCGGCUCAACCGAGGAAGUGCAUUUGAAACUGCCAGGAUAGAAUACGGGAGAGGGUUGUAGAAUUCCUGGUGUAGAGGUGAAAUUCGUAGAUAUCAGGAGGAAUACCGGUGGCGAAGGCGGCAACCUGGACCGAUAUUGACGCUGAGACGCGAAAGCGUGGGGAGCGAACAGGAUUAGAUACCCUGGUAGUCCACGCCGUAAACGAUGGAUACUAGGUGUAGCGGGUAUCGACCCCUGCUGUGCCGUAGCUAACGCGUUAAGUACCCCGCCUGGGGAGUACGG
rnacentral:rRNA from 1 species